AACGAACGCUGGCGGCAUGCCUAACACAUGCAAGUCGAACGAGACCUUCGGGUCUAGUGGCGCACGGGUGCGUAACGCGUGGGAACCUGCCCUUAGGUUCGGAAUAACUCCCCGAAAGGGGUGCUAAUACCGGAUAAUGUCUUCGGACCAAAGAUUUAUCGCCUUUGGAUGGGCCCGCGUUGGAUUAGCUAGUUGGUAGGGUAAAAGCCUACCAAGGCGACGAUCCAUAGCUGGUCUGAGAGGAUGAUUAGCCACACUGGGACUGAGACACGGCCCAGACUCCUACGGGAGGCAGCAGUGGGGAAUAUUGGACAGUGGGCGAAAGCCUGAUCCAGCUAUGCCGCGUGAGUGAUGAAGGCCUUAGGGUUGUAAAGCUCUUUUACCCGGGAUGAUAAUGACAGUACCGGGAGAAUAAGCUCCGGCUAACUCCGUG
rnacentral:rRNA from 1 species